AGAUCCUCGCAUGUCACGCCAGGCGCCUCUACCCGGACGUGAAAAAGAACGAGAGUGGAGAAAUGACCGUGAUGUGCCGCUCGCCUGCGCUGCCCGGCCACGGAAGCAAAAAGUUCCAGGACACUGAGGCCCUACGUAUGCGCAACAUGGUGGCUCGACAGGUUGGAGAGUGCAUUCGCGGACGCUCGACA